rnacentral:rRNA from 1 species
GACGAACGCUGGCGGCGUGCUUAACACAUGCAAGUCGAACGCUGAAGCUCAGCUUUUGUUGGGUGGAUGAGUGGCGAACGGGUGAGUAACACGUGAGUAACCUGCCCCCUUCUUUGGGAUAACGCCCGGAAACGGGUGCUAAUACUGGAUAUUCACUGGUCUUCGCAUGGGGGUUGGUGGAAAGGGUUUUUCUGGUGGGGGAUGGGCUCGCGGCCUAUCAGCUUGUUGGUGGGGUGAUGGCCUACCAAGGCUUUGACGGGUAGCCGGCCUGAGAGGGUGACCGGUCACAGUGGGACUGAGAUACGGCCCAGACUCCUACGGGAGGCAGCAGUGGGGAAUAUUGCACAAUGGGCGCAAGCCUGGUGCAGCGACGCCGCGUGAGGGAUGGAGGCCUUCGGGUUGUGAACCUCUUUCGCUCAUGGUCAAGCCGCAACAAUGGUUGUGGUGAGGGUAGUGGGUAAAGAAGCGCCGGCUAACUACGUG